ensembl:snRNA U1 U1 spliceosomal RNA
AUACUUAGCUGACAGGGGAGAUACCAUGAUCAUGAAGUUGGUUUUUCCAGGAUGAGAUUUACCCAUUGCACUCCGGAUGUGCUGACCCCUUCGAUUUCCGCAAAUGUGGGAAACUUGACUGCAUAAUUUGUGGUAGUGGGGGACUGCGUUCAUGCUCUCCUCUA